GAUGAACGCUAGCGGCAGGCCUAAUACAUGCAAGUCGAGGGGUAAGGUCACUUCGGUGAUACACGACCGGCGCACGGGUGCGUAACGCGUAUGCAACCUACCUGUAGCAGGGGGAUAGCCUGUGGAAACAUAGAUUAAUACCCCGUAUUGCAUAAAAGCUUGAUGGCAUUUAUGCGAAAGCUUCGGUGGCUACAGAUGGGCAUGCGUCUGAUUAGCUAGAUGGUAAGUAACGGCUUACCAUGGCAACGAUCAGUAGCGGUUCUGAGAGGAUGAUCCGCACACUGGGACUGAGACACGGCCCAGACUCCUACGGGAGCAGCAGUAGGGAAUAUUGGCAAUGGUCGAGAGACUGAACCAGCCAUGCCGCGUGCAGGAAGACGGCCUUUC
rnacentral:rRNA from 1 species